UUUGCCUUAGUGAGGAAAAUUUCCUUGCAGCAGAUGCAGUCUGGUAGAUAAGUAUUUCCUGAAGACCAGUUUCCAAGGGGAGAAGACUUUACUCGUAUCUGACAGCUGCCACUUCAAACACCAGGAAGAAACCCUAUUUUGUAUGAUUAUCCCCUGGGUAAAUGGAUCUUUUGAAGCUGCAGACUGUCUUCUGAGAUCCUUUCAAUAAGGAGUCAGCAUGACAGCCAGGAAGUUGACAAAUGUUUGAUGUUUAGUUGCUGUCUGAAGCAGUGAGGAUGAAGGGUUUUGUCUCUGCUGCUAUGAAUAUUUUUAGGGUGUCAGAAACCUGACUCUCUCCUGAGUCCUUGUCUGCUGUGUUUCCUCCCCCUUUUAAGACUUAAAGGGACCAGUACUGCAAAUGUUUAUGCAAUAUGCAUGGUGGUAACAUUUAGUGGAACUGCUCACCCAAAUAAAAGUACUCAGGAAUGUCACCGUUGGUUUCCUGGUCCUAAGUUCUGAGGUCAAGAAUGGUAGCUUGAAACUUGGGAGAUCUGAAUUUGUUCCCAGACCUGCCAGAUUUCCUGCGAGAC